CAGAAUUUUCAGAGAUAGAGAGAGAGAGAGGAGAGGUAGAGAGAGAAACCAAAUUUUGACCACAAUCUAAGCCCCGAAUCGCGAAGCUCAUGAAGAGAAAAGUGUUGUACGUCGCGUUGCCUUUAAUUUGAGUUAAAAAUCAGCCAAGAAGGAGAGGGUGGAAGUGGUUGCUGCAUACUUAAGACCUGCGAGCUCGAGAAGUAGACGCUGGACAUUAGAUAGAGUUCAAGGUAGACAGGGAGGUGAGCUUGAUCCAGAUUCUUAGUAGCUGUCAGCUGAUUGAGAGCACUCUAUUGUUCGGAGGUGCUUAUGUUUAUUCUUUUGGUUCCUAUAUGUAUUUCGCGCACGAUGGAGUCUUGUUCCGUGUAUAUGUAUAAUAUGUCAGUAGAGGCUCGUAGACGCGCAGUGUGGGUUAGAUGGUCUCACAAGAUUACUAUGUUAUAUUUGUAUAUGUUAUUUUGAUAGCCUAAGGGGCACAUGUAUAUAAAAUCGUUUGUGUUUUCAAAUGAAAAAUGGUUGUCUUA